rnacentral:rRNA from 1 species
UACGUAGGGUGCGAGCGUUAAUCGGAAUACUGGGCGUAAAGCGUGCGCAGGCGGUUCGUUAAGUCAGAUGUGAAAGCCCCGGGCUCAACCUGGGAACUGCAUUUGAAACUGGCGGGCUUGAGUAUGGCAGAGGGGGUGGAAUUCCGCGUGUAGGCAGUGAAAUGGCGUAGAGAUGACGAGGAACACCGAUGGCGGAAGGCAGCCC